UGGCCGCAGCGGGCCCGCGCCGUGCCGGGCAGGCGGCGGGGCGCACGGACCCCGAGGUUGAAAGGCCGGUAGCAGAUGUUGCAGUCCAGUUCGCCCCGCUCCGGAAGAGACGGCACCCUCACCAGGAGCUGCAUUGUGCCCGCCGCGAACUCGAGGGCGUCGCCAACGCGGCUGGCUCCUAGGACAGAACGAGCGGGCCCGUCCUGGGGCCCGCGCCGCGGCCUCUUCCCCCUUUUAAUAUUGAGAGCCCGCCCGUCGAGGCGUCACGCGAAGGUCGGGCCACUCCCCGCGGCGGCACGCGUGGGGGCGGCGGAGGUGCGAGGACCGGAAUGCGGCCGAUGGCAGAACGGGCGAGGCGACCCAAGUGGCGGCACGACUGGAGAGUCUUCCAGAAGGAGUGGGAGAUGCCGGGAGUGGAUGUGAGUACUCAUUAGUUGUUCCGGUUGGUUGCUAAUCCAGUAAAUGGCGUGCUCCUGCCUUCUCUUUUGGAAACGUUUUCCUCUGCUCCCUCCGCUUCAGGAUCCAGGAAGGCCGAGGACGGAGAGAAGGGAGGUGGUGAGGUUCUAUUUUAAGAGAAGCAGAGCUCAUCCUCUGCUGCCUUGUGAUCUUUAAAGGUGGUGACUGUCCCCCGGCUUUCUGUCCCAGGGCAAUCAGAGUUCUUUGGGGAAGAGUGAGGCCAAGUGUCUGAUACAAUCCCAUUUGAUUCUGCUUUUUUGCCACCCUCACGCCUGAGUUUUCACUUGUUUUCUUGACAAUAACUCUUUCCCUCUCUGUGUAUCAUUUCAGCCAUAGACCAGUUUUCAUGGUACCGCUCCUUCACCAAAUCCCAGAGCCUCAACCUCCGAACAGCCCCACCCACUCAGCCAGGAGAAAGCCACCCCCCAGAUGGUUCCCUGGCAUGUGAGGGUUGUCAGGCAAGAGGGAAAUGAGAAGCAUGGCUAAUGUAACUUUCAAAACAAGCCUAAGAGUGUCAGAUGGUGGAGCAACAAAAGCUAUGAAGCCGGGUCCCUGGGUUGUAGGCCUGUGAUGACUGAAGGAAGAAAAGUGGCCUGGCGUCUCUGGUGCCUGGGCCCUCGGUGACAGGGUGACCAGGAGCACGAAGCCAGGUCACUGGGGUAAAUGAGCAGUGGAGAGAAAAGGCAGUACUGGAGCUUUCUGUUCUGUUCUUUUUUGUUGUGUUUUAAUGAAGUACUGGAUCUUUCUAGUGGUGGGGGACUGCAGGGCCAGAUGUGUGAGACAGAUCCUCAACCCCAGCAAUCUGAGACGCGGCAGGUGAUGAUGAAGCUGCGAUUUUAUUUACAGUUCCCUGGGAAGUCUUACACGGGAGGGGCCUUCCUUAGUGCUUUGAGAGCAUUGCGGGGAGGAAGGCCGCAGCCCCCCACCGCCCGGUGGGAAGGCCUGCUCAGGGCUCCUCCUUGAACUUUGUAUGUCAGCGCCAGUUCUCUGCUGUGACUUGAUGGCUGUCCCUGUUGCCUGUGAAGCGGCACAACUGCUUUCCCAGGGUCUUCCUGGCCACUCUUGCCAGGACACGCUGUCCAUGGGCCAUCUGAUUUCCCUAGUGCCACCGUACUCCCCAUCCUGCCCCUCCGGGCAACAACAAAGUAUCACCACUAGUUCUUGUUUUAAGCCCUCCUCUAACUCCUGGCUGAGGCUGGGUCCUGGUUUCCCAAAGAUUAUCAUUUACGUCCUGCCAGGACCAGCCUGGCUUCCUUUGUGUCGCAUAAGGUAAGAGCCCCCAUUUCCUUUGUUCCAGAAGACAUCAUAGCCCACUUCUUUUUAGGUUGUUACCCCUUGAUGACAUUUCAGGGGCCACUUUUGAGGUACUCUGCGUGGGUCUUGUAUCUUUGCCUGGGUCUUUUUUUCCCCUGGGCCUCGGCAAUUAGGGGAAGAGGGAAGGGAGCGAGACCAGCUGGUGGAGAAGGGGCCGCCCAGUAGCUCCAGCCCAGGAUUAGCAAGAGGGCCUAGGAGAACGCGGCAGGGGGCGGCGGACUACUUUUCCUCUCAGGCCCCACUGCGGGAGGAUAUGGCUUGGUUCAUGCGACCGCUACUCGAAGCCGAAGCCGGAACUCAUUAGUGGGCGGGGACGCCUUGGCUCCGCCGCUGCCGCCGCGGCUGCCGCUGCGCGGAGGGAUCCCGAGCAGCGAGAGGGAGGCGGGGAAGAGCGACUGGGGCUGGGGGCGGGGGUGCAGCGGCUCCGGUCCCCGACGGACUACUUCUUGGGAUGCGGUUUGUUGCUCAGGAGUCCGUCAAUCUCCAUCACGGUCUGCGGAGUCAGCUGGCUCAGCACCUGGAGGAAUACGGGGUCCUGGAGAGGGCAGUACACGCAGGGUCGCUGCAGAAUGGGUGAGGUUCAAGGACCCCGGGAGGCCAACUGGCAGGCAAAGAGUCGCAGCUGUGCCCCUGCCUCACCUUGUCCUGGGACUCCUCAUCUGCAAAGCGAGGGCCUUGUAGUGGGUGACCUCACAGGCCCAUUCUGAGUUAGAUGCCGUGACUACUGGGGAAGGGGACAGAGAUGGGCUCGGGCUCUGAGUUCCCCCGCACUCACCUGUAGGGCGCCCAGGUGUUCCAUCAGCUGCUCUGCACUGGACACCCCCAGCAAGACCGAGCUGACACCCUCACUGCGGAGACACCACGCUGAGCCAGAGAAGGGAAAAGAUAGCAAGAACUGAUGGGAAACAGUGAGCACAUAGACUUCAGCAGUGUCUGGGAGGAGGAGGCCCUCCCUAGGGACAAACCAGCCUGCGGUUGUGUUUUUAGGGCCACUCCUUGUGUUUUUAGGGCAUGUGGAAGUUCCCAGGCUAGGGGUCUAGUCAGAGCUGCAGCUGCAGGCCUAUGCCACAGCCACAGCCACACCAGAUCCAAGUUGUCUGCGACCUACUCUGCAGCUCACUGCAACACUGGAUCCUUAACCCACAGAAUGAGGCAAGGGGUGGAUACCUUAUCUUCAUGGAUACUAGUGGGGUUGGUUACAGCUGAGCCACUACAGGAAUUUCCAGACUGCAGUUUGGUAGCACCUCAGGAGGAGACAGGGCUCCUGCAGGGCCCAGGGCUGGCAGUGUCUCACCAAUAGCAAGCUGUGCCACAGUGCAGCCCAGCUGGUGAGCGAUGGGGAGAAGGUCCAUGACUUUGGCUUGUUGCUUCUUGCCGUCCUCACUCUGCACUUUCCUGUCUUUGAGCCACUGGUAGCCCUGGAGGCCAAGGAGAAUCAGCAAAAGACCGCUUCUCAGAUAGUCUACUCUGUCCAUCCUGAGCCCCCCAGUCUCACCUUGACGGUGACCUUGCAGGUGUCUGGGACUUGCCCGUCAUACUUGCUAGUGAUGAGGCCACAGGCCAGAGGGGACCAGGUGACUGAGCCAACACCUACGAGGAAGAAGAUUGGAUGUGGGGAAGGGAUCUAGGCGAUGGGGAGGCCGAGGGAAAAGUAGGGAUGAGGGGACUUCGAACCAAUCUUGUGGUAGAGCUCUGGCAGCUGCGUCUCCACCUUCUCUCUCUGGAACAGAUGGUGCUCAGCUUGUUCACACACUGGAGGAAUCAGAUUGAACUGUCUGGCCAUGGAGUAGGCUUCCUGGGUUGGGGUGCAGAAGAGACGGGGGUCAGAGCUUGGCUUCCACUUUCUCCCACUCCCCCCCGCCUCCAGUAGAGUGGGGUUUGGAGCAGUCAUGUGAAAAGAGGGAACAAAUUGUGGGACGGGGGAAGUGGCUGGCACACUCACCAUGAUUUCUGCAGCCCCCCAUCGGGAUGUCCCCCAGUAUAGGGCCAGGCCCUGGUUGAUGACAUAGGUCAUGGCUCGCACGAUCUCUAGGCACAUAGGAGAGGGAGAGCCUCGUGUCAGACCCCUGGCAUCCUGGGUGCCAGAUCUGCAGACGUCUGCCUGCCCCACUAAGACCUCACUCAACCCUCUGAAGUCGGAGAGGUUGGUAUCUGCUCUUAACCCCCUUCCCUGUCCAAGUCCUGGGGUCUGAGCCUCCACUGUGGAGCUUGGGAAGCCUCCUGAGCAGGGGUGGCUUCAACUGUAGGUUUGAGGAGGACUCAGUUUUGAAGCUGUCAGGGUUGGGGUGCUGCUUUUACCCUCCAUGGGACUGUUAGGGUCUGAGCGAUUGGCAAAGACGAUGUCCACGUAUCCCAGCUGGAGGCGCUCCAGGGAUCCUCGCAAGCCUGGGGUAGGGGUGGGGAGAGGAAGGUAAGCUCUUCUGCUUCAGGUUCCUAAGAGUUGAGACCUUACCCUUUUGCCAUGGCCACCUAAAUCCCAGCUUCCCUAUUUAAAGCCUCAGACGCAGAGCUUCAGAGAAUGUUCCCAACUCUGGCUUCCAUAUCCAGCUGCCUCAGGUUCCCCAGCCCCUCACUCUCACCUUCAAUGAUAUGUUUGCGGCUCAGGCCUCGCUCGGUUUCUGCUCUGUAGGAAAAGGUAAGUCAAAGAUGAGGUGUGUCAAAGAUAAGGGACCAGGGCUGGCCUGGAACCACGAGGAACUGGGAUUGUGGGGCUCCUCAGGGGCAGGAUGUGGAGCUGGGGCAGCAGGUGCAGGGCUGCUGGCCGCCUCCCCCUUCCCAUGCACCCUCACGUAGUCUCCACACGUCUUCUCCCCAGGUGUAGCGAGGCAGCCACUUACUGUCCUCCCCAGAAAAUCUUGGUGGCGAUAACGUAGCUUGAUCUCCUGGAAAAAAAGAGAAGUGAGAGAAUCAGCAAGAAAAGGAUUUUUGGAUGAUCUUGCUCCCGGCAAGCCGCCCCCGCCAAAAAACCCCAUGUCUUACCUCCAACCUUUGUUCUUGAGGAUGUUGCCGAGGGUCCUUUCAGCCCUGGAAGGAAGACAGUGCAGAGACACUGAUCCCUCCUAGGCCAAGACAGGACACCCGAAGACCAGACUUUCCUAGGUUCCUAAAGGAUACAGAAGCAGCAGGAAGAGGUGGAGACUCCAUUAGGGACGUAGAUCAUCAGCCUCCAGCUCCUCUUUCCAGCCUGAGAUGCCCUCAGGGUAUCUCAGUCCAAAGAAAUUGGACUCCCUAUCCGAACUGGACAGUGCUAUGGCUAUAGCAUAAGUGAACAAAUAAUGACUCUUCCUCUGUAGCCACUGUCCAAUGCCUCUGUUCCCUCCUAGCGCAUUGAAGACAUGCUGUCUGCUUAGUGUUUCUUCCGGUGGGUCUUAUCUGUGUUUGAGUCAUCUCUGGGAUGUGGAGUUGCGGGCGGAGGGUGGCUGGAAGGAAUGUGACUGGCUGAUUGUAUUGAAUUUGUGAAAACAGA